rnacentral:rRNA from 1 species
GACGAACGCUGGCGGCGUGCUUAACACAUGCCAGUCGAACGGACAGGCCUGCUUUCCCUUGUGGAUUGCGGGUACUCGGAUGGCGAACGGGUGAGUAACACGUCAGUGAUCUGGACCCAACUUGGGUAUAAGCCUGGGAAACUGGGUCUAAUUCCCGAUAGGACUGCAGGGUGGUGCCUUUGGUGGAGAACGAUUUUCUAGUGGUUGGGGGUGCGCUCGCGGCCUAUCAGCUUGUUGGUGGGGGAAUGGACUACCAAGGCGGCGACGAGUAGCCGGCCGGAGAGGGUGGACGGGCACAUUGAGACUGGGACACGACCCAGACUCGUACGGGAGGCAGCAGUGGGGAAUAGUGGGGAAUGGGCGGAAGGCUGAAGCGGCGAGGGAGCGUGGGGGAUGACGGGCUUCGGGUUGUAAGCUCCUUUCGAACGCGAAGAAGCCACCUGGCUGGGAGGGUGGUGACGGUAGUGAUAGAAGAAGCACCGGCUAACUACGUG